rnacentral:lncRNA from 1 species
CAAAAACACCACCACCACUAGUAUUUAUCCAUAAAAUGCUGCUACAUCAACUUGAGUCAUGUUACCAUCAUAAGUUUACCCAGUGAUGAGUUGAGCUGUCCGUAGAAUGCUACUCUAGUUUUAGAGCAGAAAUAUAAUCAGACGAAAAGGAAGAAAAAAACACUAGUGACCGUUAAAUUUCUGUUACAAACUGAGUGAGCAUGAUGGUAGUUGCAGUAACGUCACCAAGUCCACCCUCCCAAACUCCCUCACUUCACAAAUUUAACAACCAUCACUCUCAUCUCCUUCACCUCUUAAACCAAUCCACUUCCAUGUCUGAGCUCAAGCAAAUCCACGCCCAAACACUCCGUACCACAUCCACCCAUUAUUCAGACACCCUCUUUCUUCACAGUCGAAUCUUUCAUUUCUCAUCUUUACAUGACCUUGACUACACUUUCCGC